UACAGAGGGUGCGAGCGUUGUUCGGAAUCAUUGGGCGUAAAGGGCGUGUAGGCGGUUUGUUAAGUCAUGUGUGAAAUCCCUCGGCUCAACCGGGGAAGGACGCAUGAAACUGGCAAGCUAGAGUACCAAAGAGGGGGGUGGAAUUCCCGGUGUAGCGGUGAAAUGCGCAGAUAUCGGGAGGAACACCUAUGGCGAAGGCAGCUUGCUGGGACGGCACUGACGCUGAGACGCGAAAGCGUGGGGAGCAAACAGG
rnacentral:rRNA from 1 species